rnacentral:rRNA from 1 species
CCUACGGGCGGCAGCAGUGAGGAAUAUUGGUCAAUGGACGAGAGUCUGAACCAGCCAAGUAGCGUGAAGGAUGACUGCCCUAUGGGUUGUAAACUUCUUUUAUAUGGGAAUAAAACGUUCCACGUGUGGGAUUUUGUAUGUACCCUAUGAAUAAGGAUCGGCUAACUCCGUGCCAGCAGCCGCGGUAAUACGGAGGAUCCGAGCGUUAUCCGGUUUUAUUGGGUUUAAAGGGAGCGUAGGUGGAUUGUUAAGUCAGUUGUGAAAGUUUGCGGCUCAACCGUAAAAUUGCAGUUGAAACUGGCAGUCUUGAGUACAGUAGAGGUGGGCGGAAUUCGUGGUGUAGCGGUGAAAUGCUUAGAUAUCACGAAGAACUCCGAUUGCGAAGGCAGUUCACUGGACUGCAACUGACACUGAGGCUCGAAAGUGUGGGUAUCAAACAGGAUUAGAUACCCCGGUAGUC